rnacentral:rRNA from 2 species
UCUAGAGGCUUCGGCAAUGGGGGCAACCCUGACCGAGCGACGCCGCGUGUGGGAUUGAAGGCCUUCGGGUCGUAAACCACUGUCAAGAGGGACGAAUGCCCGUAUGGUGAAUACGGGAGGGACGGUACCUCUGGAGGAAGCCCCGGCUAACUCCGUGCCAGCAGCCGCGGUAAUACGGAGGGGGCAAGCGUUGUUCGGAUUUACUGGGCGUAAAGGGUGUGUAGGCGGUUGCGUAAGUCUGGUGUGAAAUCUUCGCGCUCAACGCGAAGCGGUCACUGGAAACUGCGUAACUCGAGUGUGGUAGAGGCAAGCGGAAUUCCUGGUGUAGCGGUGGAAUGUGUAGAUAUCAGGAAGAACACCUGUGGCGAAAGCGGCUUGCUGGGCCAUCACUGACGCUGAGACACGAAAGCGUGGGGAGCAAACGGG